GACGAACGCUGGCGGCGUGCUUAACACAUGCAAGUCGAACGGAAAGGCCCUGCUUUUGUGGGGUGCUCGAGUGGCGAACGGGUGAGUAACACGUGAGUAACCUGCCCUUGACUUUGGGAUAACUUCAGGAAACUGGGGCUAAUACCGGAUAGGAGCUCCUGCUGCAUGGUGGGGGUUGGAAAGUUUCGGCGGUUGGGGAUGGACUCGCGGCUUAUCAGCUUGUUGGUGGGGUAGUGGCUUACCAAGGCUUUGACGGGUAGCCGGCCUGAGAGGGUGAACGGCGACCUGGGGACUGAGAGACGGCGCAGACGGCUACGGGAGGCAGCAGGGGGGAAUAUUGCACAAUGGGAGGAAGCCUGAUGCAGAAACGCCGCGUGCGGGAUGACGGCCUUCGGGUUGUAAACCGCUUUCGCCUGUGACGAAGCGUGAGUGACGGUAAUGGGUAAAGAAGCACCGGCUAACUACGUG
rnacentral:rRNA from 1 species